CAGGGACACAUUUGAAGUCUCAGAGCCGGGUGUUGGUUCCGGUAGAGAUCGAGGGAAGUUAGUACCGAAGUCUGAGAUGGAAGAUGGCGAGAAAAGCUGUGUGUAUUUCUGAGGUGCCCGUACCGCAAACCGACACGGGUAGGUAGGAAGAAGAUUCUAAGGCCAACGGGAGAAGGGUUGUUAAGGAACUCGGCAAAUUGACCCCGUAACUUCGGGAGAAGGGGUGCUCCAGAGAUGGAGCCGCAGAGAAUCGGCCCAAGCAACUGUUUACCAAAAACACAGGUUUGUGCUAAAUCGAAAGAUGACGUAUACGAGCUGACGCCUGCCCGGUGCUGGAAGGUUAAGAGGAGAUGUGCAAGCAUUGAAUCGAAGCCCCAGUGAACGGCGGCCGUAACUAUAACGGUCCUAAGGUAGCGAAAUUCCUUGUCAGGUAAGUUCUGACCCGCAUGAAAGGCGUAAUGAUUUGGGCACUGUCUCAACAGCCCGCCCGGCGAAAUUGUAGUACCGGUGAAGAUGCCGGUUACCCGCGACAAGACGGAAAGACCCCAUGGAGCUUUACUGUAGCCUAAUAUUGGGUUUCGAUGUUGCAUGCACAGGAUAGAUGGGACACAGGGAAACAAUCGCUUUGGCGGUUGCGGAGUGGCCGUUGGGAUACCAUCCUUGCGAUAUUGGAAUUCUAACCUGCGGCUCUGAAUCGAGUCGGGGGACAUUGUUAGGUGGGCAGUUUGACUGGGGCGGUCGCCUCCUAAAAAGUAACGGAGGCGUUCAAAGGUUCGCUCAGCUUGAACGGAAAUCAAGCAAAAGAGUGCAAACGCAGAAGCGAGCCUAACUGCGAGACUGACGGGUCGAGCAGUAACGAAAGUUGGAUUUAGUGAUCCGGUGGUAUGUGAGUGGAAAUGCCAUCGCUCAACGGAUAAAAGUUACCCUGGGGAUAACAGGCUGAUCUCCCCCAAGAGUCCACAUCGACGGGGAGGUUUGGCACCUCGAUGUCGGCUCAUCGCAUCCUGGGGCUGUAUUCGGUCCCAAGGGUUUGGCUGUUCGCCAAUUAAAGCGGUACGCGAGCUGGGUUCAGAACGUCGUGAGACAGUUCGGUCCCUAUCUGUCGUGGGCGCAGGAUAUUUGAUGGGAGCUGUCCCUAGUACGAGAGGACCGGGACGGACGUACCUCUGGCGCACCAGUUGUUCCGCCAGGAGCAUAGCUGGGCAACUACGUACGGAUCGGAUAAACGCUGAAAGCAUCUAAGCGUGAAGCCGACCCAAAGAUAAGAUAUCCCACUGAUUAGAUCAGGUAAGAUCCCUUGAAGACUACAAGGUUGAUAGGCACGAUGUGUAAGUGGAGUGAUCCAUUCAGCAAGAGUGUACUAAUAGAUCGAGGGCUUGACCAU
rnacentral:rRNA from 1 species